rnacentral:tRNA from 1 species
GGUUGCUUGGUGUAAUGGUUAGCACAUCAGAUUCUGAUCGCUUCGCCGCGUUAGAAAUUCUGGGGAUAUUGGUUCGAUUCCUAUAGCGACCU